ACUACGGGUGGCAGCAGUGAGGAAUCUUGGUCAAUGGCCGUAAGGCUGAACCAGCCAAGUAGCGUGAGGGAAGACUGCCCUAUGGGUUGUAAACCUCUUUUAUGCGGGGAUAAAGGUGUCCACGUGUGGAUGUUUGCAGGUACCGCAUGAAUAAUGACCGGCUAAUUCCGUGCCAUCAGCCGCUGUAAUACGGAAGGUCCGGGCGUUAUCCGGAUUUAUUGGGUUUAAAGGGAGCGUAGGCCGGUCUUUAAGCGUGCCGUGAAAUUUUGUGGCUCAACCAUGAGAGUGCGGCGCGAACUGGAGACCGUGAGUGCGCGGAAGGCAGGCGGAAUUCGUGGUGUAGCGGUGAAAUGCUUAGAUAUCACGAAGAACCCCGAUUGCGAAGGCAGCCUGCCGCAGCGUUACUGACGCUGAAGCUCGAAAGCGCGGGUAUCGAACAGGAUUAGAUACCCUGGUAGUC
rnacentral:rRNA from 1 species